AGUGAACGCUGGCGGUAGGCCUAACACAUGCAAGUCGAACGGCAGCACAGGAGAGCUUGCUCUCUGGGUGGCGAGUGGCGGACGGGUGAGGAAUACAUCGGAAUCUACUCUGUCGUGGAGGAUAACGUAGGGAAACUUACGCUAAUACCGCAUACGACCUACGGGUGGAAGCAGGGGAUCUUCGGACCUUGCGCGAUUGAAUGAGCCGAUGUCGGAUUAGCUAGUUGGCGGGGUAAAGGCCCACUAAGGGGACGAUCCGUAGCUGGUCUGGGAGGAUGAUCAGCCACACUGGAACUGAGACACGGUCCAGACUCCUACGGGAGGCAGCAGUGGGGAAUAUUGGACAAUGGGCGCAAGCCUGAUCCAGCCAUACCGCGUGGGUGAAGAAGGCCUUCGGGUUGUAAAGCCCUUUUGUUGGGAAAGAAAUCCAGCUGGCUAAUACCCGGUUGGGAUGACGGUACCCAAAGAAUAAGCACCGGCUAACUUCGUGCCAGCCGCCGCGGUAA
rnacentral:rRNA from 1 species